rnacentral:rRNA from 1 species
UACCAGCACCCCGAGUGGUCGGGACGAUUAUUGGGCCUAAAGCAUCCGUAGCCGGUACUGCAAGUCUUCCGUUAAAUCCACCUGCUCAACAGUUGGGCUGCGGAGGAUACUACAGCGCUAGGAGGCGGGAGAGGCAAGCGGUACUCAUUGGGUAGGGGUAAAAUCUACUGAUCCAUUGAAGACCACCAGUGGCGAAGGCGGCUUGCCAGAACGCGCUCGACGGUGAGGGAUGAAAGCUGGGGGAGCAAACCGG